rnacentral:rRNA from 1 species
CUACGGGGUGCUGCAGUGGGGAAUAUUGCACAAUGGGGGAAACCCUGAUGCAGCAACGCCGCGUGGAGGAUGACGCAUUUCGGUGUGUAAACUCCUUUUAUAUGUCAAGAAAAUGACGGUAGCAUAUGAAUAAGCGCCGGCUAACUCCGUGCCAGCAGCCGCGGUAAUACGGAGGGUGCAAGCGUUACUCGGAAUCACUGGGCGUAAAGGACGCGUAGGCGGGAGUGUAAGUCAGGUGUGAAAGCCUAUGGCUCAACCAUAGAAUUGCACUUGAAACUACAAACCUAGAGUAUGGGAGGGGCAGAUGGAAUUAGUGGUGUAGGGGUAAAAUCCGUAGAUAUCACUAGGAAUACCGAAAGCGAAGGCGAUCUGCUGGAACAUAACUGACGCUGAGGCGUGAAAGCGUGGGGAGCAAACAGGAUUAGAUACCCCCGUAGUC